GGCUUUUUAACGCCUUGAAGAAAUUUGUGUGAUGGGAUAAAGAAGAAUUGAAGAGAAAUCAAAACUCUCUCAGCAGGGCGAGCGGCGUGUAAGGCGAGUGGUGCUCAAGGAGAGGCCCGGGCUACAGAGAAGAACUUUUGCUCUAGUCUGGGAUCUUUGGGGGUGCUUGAUGUGUUGGUCCCAGACACUUGGAGGUUGGCAGAGCUCGGUGGAGGUUAGCUGGAGCGUGAUGAGGACUGGGCGGAGCUCUGUGGUUGUGCCGGAUGAUGCAGAGAGUACACGGCCCAAAGAGAGAUCUGGACUGCGACGACCUAGAACUCAGCUGGGCUUGAGGCCGGACCACUGCUCGGGGCCUGAAAAUUGGCUGGACUGGUACUAGAGCACUAGCGGUGACCCGAGUUGCAGCUGGAGUGACCUGAGUGGGACCAGUGAUGAAGGACUGAGGCCUAGGCAUCGCCCUAGCAACUGGCUUGGCAUCUGACACCUGAACAGUGGCUCUGGCCCCCUGGGGGUACCUGAAGGACUUGGAAGCUGGUAUUGGCCUCCAACUGUGUGGUUUCUGUUUGGAUCCAAGAAUGUCAGCCUUAUUUCUGUGAGAAAUAUCAGAGAGCGAGUAAGCGACGGAACGAAGAACUCCAGUGCUGUUGCAACAAAUAAGGACGUUCCUUCCCGGGUGCUCGCUUAUUAUUUGUCCUCCUCGUUCCUUUCCCAUCUGAUGAUAUCAGUGAGCAUUUAUUAAAGUGCUCCAAAGUGUGCACCUGGGCUUCCUUAUGAAAUGCUGCCCUCCACUGCUAAACGGCCGGGGCAUAGAAGCGUGGGCCUCCAGGGAUGAGAAAGACUUGCGAACGGUCACAUUCAAAGCGGGCCCGCAGAACACUUGUGCGCCGUCGGAACGUGAUUCCCUCCUGUUGGCUCCUGGCAGAAUUUGCAGACUCCACAAGAGCUGACAUUGUAACGCACGCGUGUGAGCCAGGGCCUUGCUUUCCCUUGAUUGGGAAUGUUUCCCUCGGUCCUGUGCUGGUAAAUAGUAGAUUUGUUUUCCAAACAUCUCUCUGAAAUUGCAGCAGGUGCACAUCAUUUUACAGCCCUACAUGGACAUCCAAGAGAAAGAUGCUAUUUUAGUGCCCAGCAUGGCUGCUCCAAAUGGAUUAACCGGGGAGGACUAAAUCUUAAAUACAGACUCAUCAAAUUAGGCACAUUUACUGUGUGCACAAGUACAGUGCCAUCUUUUCCACAUUUAGGGAACAUGUUGCCAUCAAGCAAGCAUUUAAUCAAGCAUGACAUCAAAUAUCCUUUGCCGCUCCUUGUAGUAUAUAGUGAGGACAAAUUAAUUAAUGCUCAUACUUAGCGGCUUGAUGAGACCAAAUCAUGUUUACCCUCCUCAAGGUUUAUUUUAACAUUUCCUUUCCAGAAGCAGCUGGUGCGUUUGCUUGUUUUCCUGGAUACUCUUAAACUAGUAAACCGUAACAGUAGAAUAACACAAGAGAGCAUCUAUAAAAGAAAAAUCAUAGCCAGGCAUCUCCUACUAUAAACAUGACAACUCUUACUUGGGUUUUGUUUAUUUUCUGCAAGACAUCAUUUCCCUGAACUUUUCUGAGUAUGAAGCUUUCUGAAAGAGAAAAAUAUCGUAGUGUAAAUGAGGCAGCUAGAGAGACUUGCUGUUUUUGGAACUAAAGUGUUUAUUAGUAUAAGAAGCUGGUUUCUUUCUUUCUUUUUUAAAUUGUAUUGUUGAUUUUAUGUAUUAUGGACCUGCUUGAGGAGAAUUAUUUGUAAGGUUACAAUAUAUAUAGCAAAACCUGAGGUAGCUGCUACAUUUUCCUAGCUACCAAGAUAAAUUAUUUUCCUUGGAAUAUGGGGCUUAGUAGAGGAUUUUAUUAUAUGUGUUCAUUUUUAAGAUUGUUUUGAUAUCUAUUUUAA